rnacentral:rRNA from 1 species
UACCUAAUAGUGGGGGAUAACGUUCGAAAGGAACGCUAAUACCGCAUACGUUCUGAGGAAGAAAGCAGGGGAUCGCAAGACCUUGCGCUAUUAGAUGAGCCUGCGUCCGAUUAGCUAGUUGGUGGGGUAAAGGCCUACCAAGGCGACGAUCGGUAACUGGUCUGAGAGGAUGAUCAGUCACACUGGAACUGAGACACGGUCCAGACUCCUACGGGAGGCAGCAGUGGGGAAUAUUGGACAAUGGGGGCAACCCUGAUCCAGCCAUGCCGCGUGUGUGAAGAAGGCCUUCGGGUUGUAAAGCACUUUAAGCGGGGAGGAAGGCUCUAUGGCUAAUAUCCAUGGGGAUUGACGUUACCCGCAGAAUAAGCACCGGCAAACUUCGUG